rnacentral:rRNA from 2 species
UUGAGGGCAAGUCUGGUGCCAGCAGCCGCGGUAAUUCCAGCUCCAAUAGCGUAUAUUAAAGUUGCUGCAGCUAAAAGCUCGUAGUUGAAUUUCGGGACCAAUAUGUCGGUCGUGCCUCGGUACGUACUGGCAUCGUUGGUUUCUCCCUUCUGACGAACCAUGAUGUCAUUUAUUUGGUGUCGUGGGGAAUCAGGACUGUUACUUUGAAAAAAUUAGAGUGUUUAAAGCAGGCCCACGCUUGAAUACAUUAGCAUGGAAUAAUGAAAUAGGACGUUUGAUUCUAUUUUGUUGGUUUCUAGGAUCGACGUAAUGAUUAAUAGGGAUAGUUGGGGGCAUUAGUAUUCAAUUGUCAGAGGUGAAAUUCUUGGAUUUAUUGAGGACUAACUACUGCGAAAGCAUUUGCCAAGGAUGUUUUCAUUAAUCAGGAACGAAAGUUAGGGGAUCGAAGACGAUCAGAUACCGUCGUAGUCUUAACCAUAAACUAUGCCGACUAGGGAUCGGACGGUGUUAUUUUUUGACCCGUUCGGCGCCUUACGGGAAAC